UACGAGGGGCGCAAGUGUUGUUCGGAAUCACUGGGCGUAAAGGGAGCGUAGGCGGGUUUUUAAGUUAGGUGUUUAAUCCCGGGGCCCAACCCCGGACCGGCACUUAAAACUGGGAAUCUUGAAUAGUGGAGAGGUCAGUGGAAUUGGGGGUGUAGCGGUGGAAUGCGUAGAGAUCCCCAAGAACACCAGUUGCGAAGGCGGCUGACUGGACACAUAUUGACGCUGAGGCUCGAAAGCAUGGGGAGCAAACAGG
rnacentral:rRNA from 1 species